GAAGAAUCUGACGUCCAUCAAAACAAGUGGUUUGAAUAUUCACGUUGUCUCUGAGAUCAUCAGAUCAUCUGGUUUUAAGAUGUCUCCCAUCAGUAUAUUCGCUCUCUGUAUCGCUUGUCUCAUACAGGUCAAUUAUUGUGGAGCCCGGAGGACCUAUACCGUCAUCAACGGACCAGCUGUUUAUCCGAGCAACUUGGUCUACAUACCGACAAUCACGGACCAAAGCUGUUUAUACGGAUCCAGCUACACCUUACCUGUCAGUUACGACAGCUACAGUCUGAGCGACUGCAGCAUUAGCUACCCUAGCGUCUGCUGCAGCUGCCCCAGUUA